rnacentral:rRNA from 1 species
GCCUACGGGGGGCAGCAAUUAGGAAUCUUGCGCAAUGGGCGAAAGCCUGACGCAGCGACGCCGCGUGACCGAUGAAGUCCUUCGGGAUGUAAAGGUCUUUUGCCAGGGAAGAAGAACGUGACGGUACCUGGCGAAUAAGCCCCGGCUAACUACGUGCCAGCAGCCGCGGUAAGACGUAGGGGGCGAGCGUUGUCCGAAGUCACUGGGCGUAAAGCGCGCGUAGGCGGCCUCUUAAGUUGGGUGUGAAAUCCUGCGGCCCAACCGCAGAACUGCAUCCAAAACUGGGAGGCUUGAGGACGGAAGAGGGCAGUGGAAUUCCUGGUGUAGCGGUGAAAUGCGUAGAUAUCAGGAGGAACACCCGUGGCGAAGGCGGCUGCCUGGUCCGUAUCUGACGCUGAGGUGCGAAAGCCAGGGGAGCGAACGGGAUUAGAUACCCUAGUAGUCCU